rnacentral:rRNA from 1 species
GUGGGGAGCAAACGGGAUUAGAUACCCCGGUAGUCCACGCCGUAAACAAUGCGCACUGGGUCGGGGAGGUUUGACGCCUUCCUGGCCGAAGCAAAAGUGUUAAGUGCGCCGCCUGGGGAGUACGGUCGCAAGGCUAAAACUCAAAGGAAUUGACGGGGGCUCACACAAGCGGUGGAGCAUGUGGCUUAAUUCGAAGCAACGCGAAGAACCUUAUCCCAGGCUUGACAUCUUAGGAUUAGUCCUAUGAAAGUAGGAUGACAGCCGCAAGGCCGGAACUAGGACAGGUGCUGCAUGGCUGUCGUCAGCUCGUGCUGUGAAGUGUCGGGUUAAGUCCCUCAACGAGCGAAACCCCUAUCGUUAGUUGCUAACAGGUAAUGCUGAGGACUCUAGCGAGACUGCCGGUGUCAAACCGGAGGAAGGUGGGGAUGACGUCAAGUCCUCAUGGCCCUUAUGCCUGGGGCUGCACACGUGCUACAAUGGUGAAUACAGAACGAUGCAAGACCGCGAGGUGGAGCAAAUCGCUUAAAGUUCACCCCAGUUCAGAUAGCAGGCUGCAACCCGCCUGCUUGAAGUCAGAAUCGCUAGUAAUCGCGGAUCAGCUACGCCGCGGUGAAUAUGUUCCUGAGCCUUGUACACACCGCCCGUCAAGUCAUGGGAGCUGGCAGUGCCCGAAGUCGCGCAAACUCAUGCGUGCCCACGGCAAGGCUGGUGACUGGGACU